GGAAUCGAAGCCAUAAAGUCUGAGGGGAUGUUACAGGUUGAGGAUUAGGGAGUGUCUAAACCUUGACGUCGUCACAACACAGGAUCCGAGAUACCUCUGGCUGAAACGGAGACUGUGCUUUCAGAACUGGCCCAGCACCCAGUCUCUACUCCAAUGCUCUCAGGAUCCUGCCCUUAAUAGGAGAACAUGAGAGUUGCAGAUUUAAAAACCCAAGAGGAAACCUUUGCAACAACCUUUGUCAUAUUAGGAAUCCCAAAAUAAGGAGAUAUGGAAAUGUCAUGUAUUUUACCUGGAAAUCCUGUUACUGUGCCCAUUUUUGGAGCUGAGAAAACUAAAGGGCGGAGCCUACUAGCUAAGAGAAGACAAUCUCCAGGAAACUACUGCUUCAUUUAUUUGACACUGGGCAGAAGUUUCGGUGAGAAAUCAGCAAGAUCAUAGCCUGGAGUGAACACUGGAGGCAGGAGAUGUCCUUGAGAAAGAGGCUACAACAGAGGGUGGAACACCUCUUCCAUUAAAGCGGCUGUUUUCCAGAGUUUCUGAAAAGCUCCCUCCUUUGUCAUGGUGGUGGUGGGGAAGGGCAGGCUGGGACCCUAAUGCAUGACUUUCCACCUGGGUGUUACUGGCAUCUGAUGUCCUAAUCAUAUUUCCCUGUCACCUCUCAGUGCUGAUUUACUUUCUCCUCCCAUUCUACAUGCUGCAGAACUAAUUGCCUGCCUAAUUGCCAAAACUAAUUGCUGUGACAUUCAUUGUUCAUCUGCUCCUUUCUCCGGCUUCAGCUCAGGCAGGUGGCUCCCAUGAAGGCAAGGGUGGAAUUAUUCCUGCUUUGGGGCCAGGAUGCUUCAGAGUGAUGGCCCAACAAUUAUCUUCCUCAUGGAGGCGGACCAAGGAAUCACCUUCCUCACUGAACAGAGGACAAUAAUUCUUGGCAGGGGUUCACCUUCUUCUGGUGUGAGAUUGGGUAGCUUUGACAGAUUGUAAGUCAAUUAAAUUGUACUUUUCAGGGAGUUCCUCUCUCCCAUUUAGAGAUUAGGAUUAGAUUUGUUCAUUAGGAAAUUGACCCAGAGAAGUGAGACAGCUACUUGCUGGCCACAUAGCUCAUUCAUGGCGAAGUUGAAACUGGGGCUCAGAUAUCCCA